AGAGUUUGAUCAUGGCUCAGAACGAACGCUGGCGGCAGGCCUAACACAUGCAAGUCGAACGCUCGUAGCAAUACGGGAGUGGCAGACGGGUGAGUAACACGUGGGAACGUGCCCAAAGGUACGGAACAACUCCGGGAAACUGGAGCUAAUACCGUAUGUGCCCGAAAGGGGAAAGAUUUAUCGCCUUUGGAUCGGCCCGCGUCUGAUUAGCUAGUUGGUGGGGUAAUGGCCCACCAAGGCGACGAUCAGUAGCUGGUCUGAGAGGAUGACCAGCCACACUGGGACUGAGACACGGCCCAGACUCCUACGGGAGGCAGCAGUGGGGAAUAUUGGACAAUGGGCGCAAGCCUGAUCCAGCCAUGCCGCGUGAGUGAUGAAGGCCUUAGGGUUGUAAAGCUCUUUCGGCGGGGACGAUAAUGACGGUACCCGCAGAAGAAGCCCGGCUAACUUCGUGCCAGCAGCCGCGGUA
rnacentral:rRNA from 1 species